CCUACGGGCGGCUGCAGUAAGGAAUAUUGGUCAAUGGACGAAAGUCUGAACCAGCCAUGCCGCGUGGAGGAUGAAGGUCCUCUGGAUUGUAAACUUCUUUUAUAUGGGACGAAAAAAGGCUUUUCUAGGUCGUCUGACGGUACCAUAUGAAUAAGCACCGGCUAACUCCGUGCCAGCAGCCGCGGUAAUACGGAGGGUGCCGGCGUUAUCCGGAUUCACUGGGUUUAAGGUGGGCGUGGGUGGGUUGGGAGAAAUCCCCGAGCUUAACUUGGGAACUGCCAUUGAUACUAUCAGUCUUGAAUACCGUGGAGGUCAGCGGAAUAUGUCAUGUAGCGGUGAAAUGCUUAGAUAUGACAUAGAACACCAAUUGCGAAGGCAGCUGGCUACCCGAAUAUUGACACUGAGGCACGAAAGCGUGGGGAUCAAACAGGAUUAGAUACCCCAGUAGUC
rnacentral:rRNA from 1 species